rnacentral:rRNA from 1 species
CCUACGGGUGGCUGCAGUGAGGAAUAUUGGUCAAUGGGCGGGAGCCUGAACCAGCCAAGUCGCGUGAGGGAAGACGGUCCUAUGGAUUGUAAACCUCUUUAGGCGGGGAGCAAUGCCGGGCACGUGUGCCCGGAGGGAGAGUACCCGCAGAAUAAGCAUCGGCUAACUCCGUGCCAGCAGCCGCGGUAAUACGGAGGAUGCGAGCGUUAUCCGGAUUUAUUGGGUUUAAAGGGUGCGUAGGCGGAUUUUUAAGUCAGCGGUAAAAUGUCCGGGCUCAACCCGGGCCGGCCGUUGAAACUGGGGAUCUUGAGUGGGCGAGAAGUAUGCGGAAUGCGUGGUGUAGCGGUGAAAUGCAUAGAUAUCUGGAGGAACAUCAGUGGCGAAGGCGACUAUCUGGCACAUAACUGACGCUGAGGAGCGAAAGCGUGGGUAGCAAACAGGAUUAGAUACCCCUGUAGUC